UCUCAGAUAUUCAUGUAGCUCCAGUUGGUGUAGCUGCUGCUGUCUCUUUCACAGAAACACAGUCAGAAUGUUAUCAAAUAUCUGAUGAAGCUGUGCCUCACAUCUCUCUCUGUUUGCACCCUGAGCACCAAGCAAAAGAAUUGGGCCCAAUGAUGAAACGCUCCCUGGCAGCCACAGAUUGGAUUGCGACAGCAGUGCCAGAUGUGGGGCUUGCUUCCUGUUCUCCUAAUUCAUUUCAGGUGGACUCUGAGAGACCCCUCUGGAUUCCUCAGUAUCCACACAAACCCGCAGCUGAACAGGGCAUCGCAGAGACAAUAACAGGACUGAUUGAGGCUGGAGUGCUGGAACCCUCAAAGUCUGACUGGAACACACCCAUUUUGCCAGUGGAGAAAAAAGGUACUGGCAAAUACAGAAUGGCUCAUGACCUGAGAGCAGUAAAUGCAGUUCUGAAAACAAAAACGGUGGCAGUUCCUAAUCCAUAUGUCUCCAUUGCUGCUUUGACUCCUAGCCAGCAGUGGUAUAGCUGUAUUGAUUUGGCAAAUGCAUUUUUCUGUGUCCCACUAGCUGAAAGCUGCAGGGACUACUUUUCAUUCACUUUCAGGGGAGAACAGUGGCGUUACACCAGGCUGCCACAAGGUUUCGCCCUGUCUCCAGGGCUGUUUAACCAGGUUUUGAAAGAUGUUUUGCAGGAUUGCCCCCUUCCACGACACCCGACCCUAAUUCAGUAUGUAGAUGACCUUUUGCUGGCCGCACCAACCGCGGAGCUUUGCGUUAAAGCCACCUCCCUGGUUCUGGCUCACCUCCAUCAAAAAGGUUUUAAGGUCAGUAAAAACCAAUUACAGAUUGCACGAAAAUAGGUUUCUUUUCUGGGCAGGAUAAUUUCUGCAGGCACAACUAGCAUGUCUCCUUCCCACAAGCAGUCCAUUCUGCAACAUCCUAAACCCUCCAGAGUUAAAGACAUGCUCUCUUUUCUGGGGUUAACUGGCUACAGCAGGAGCUACAUUCCCUCUUACACUGACCUGACUCAGUCUCUUCGAGCCUUGGUUAAUGAACAAGGCAUGAGAAAUCUGAAUAAUCUCCUCUUUUGGACAACUGAGGCAGAACAAGCUUUUAUAGCUGUAAAACAACACAUGUCGUCCGCUGCAGAGCUCUCCAUGCCAGACUACACUUCGCCGUUCUUUCUGGAUGUUUCUGUUACAAAACUGGCCGUUAACAGAGUUUUGUAUCAGAAAAAAGGGGGUGAGAGACGAAUCAUGAUGUAUUUAUCUGCAAUUUUGGACAAAAUGGAACAGAGACAUCAUCCCUGCACACAGCAUGCUGCUGGUGUAGCCAAAUUGAUACAAAAAAACUGCACACAUAGUCAUGGGACAUUCACUGUUGGUGUUAACGUCACACAGUGUAGUGGCAUAUGUAAACUCACAAAGUUUCACCAUGACAGCGUUGCGACAACAAAGACUUUCUAAAGUCCUGGAAGCUCCUAACAUUUCAUUCACACACGAAGGCGUGAACAUGGCAGACUGUUUUUCAGAAGGAGAACCACACGUGUGUGCAGAACUUGUGGCAAAGUCAGAAAAGGUAAGACAAGACCUGGAAGCAACUCCCUUGAUUGGACCAGAGGUGAGACAGUUCUUCACAGAUGGUUGUUGUUACAGACACCAAACACAAGAACUAAGAGCUGGUUUUGCAGUAGUAGAAAGCACAAAAGCAGGCUUUCUCACAAGAAAAGCAGAAAGACUGGAAGGAACAGCGUCUGCGCAGAGAGCAGAAAUAAAAGCAGUGAUCGAAGCGUUAAAGCUUGCCCAAGGAUCACAGGUAAAUGUGUACACAGAUUCCGCUUAUGUUGCAGGAACAGUGCAUUUGGAACUUUGCCAGUGGAUGAGGGGCAGAUUUCUGACCACCAGCGGCCGAACCAUAAAACAUGAGGCGGAGGAUGGCCUGAAGCGUGGCCAGCAGCGAGAGAAGACAGUAAAACGGUCAUAAAAUGUCUGAUCAACCAUUACAUCCCCAGGCAUGGUUUUCCAGAAAAAAUCAGAUCAGACAAUGGAACACAUUUCAGAAACAAGGACCUGCAAACAGUGGAAGCUCAUCUUGGUUUGAAACACAAGUUCGGUACGGUUUAUCACCCGGAAUCCUAAGGCAAAGCAGAAUGAAUGAAUCAAAAUUUAAAAACAAAAUUGGCUAAAGUUUGUGCACAAACUAAAUUAACAGUGACCAAGGCGCUAGAAGGACUUAAGGCCCUUAGUAAAACGAUGCAUGAGCACUCUGGAGUUUCAAACCCCUUGGAUAAGUGAUUCACUGAUCUGUUUGGAAAAUAUAAAGAAAUCAUCAUCUCUUUGCUCCUUUCUGUGACAACUUUCCUUGCCCUCCUGAUCACCUGUGGUUGCUGCUGUGUCCCCUGUCUGAGGUCAUUGGCGGUGCGGUGCAUCACCUCAACCAUAGAGAAAGGCAGCAGUAGUGAUGGAAAUCCACCUGCCUAUCAGAUGUUAUCCCGGAGACGUGAAAGAACCGUGAAAUUCCAGAUUGCCAGAGUUUAAGGGCAGUACUAGUAUCCAGUGACAAAAGAAAAUUUUCCUUCACUUUAAUGUUCUUUAUAUAAUCCAUUGAUUUCGCUUUUGUUGUGUUUUUUCUUGCAGAAUGAAGUCCAAUCCUUUCUGGGUGUGCCGGGGUGUGAGACUGUGGGCGCCUUCCACGAUUGUUGGACCGAGUUACAGCCGAAAUCCCACACUGAAGCCUUCCAGGCAAUGUCGGGGUUUCCCAGCGACCGCGCCGGCUCUACAUCUGGACACACGCAGAAACUGAUUUGACGUUGAGAGGUCUCGCUAUAGAGAGGCUGCAGUGAUUUGAUUUCAUUACAAUGAUUAAAGUUUGAUCAGAAAACAUUUUUACUUACUUUUAAUCCUAGUUUAAUCAUGCCAGUGUAUUUUGAGUGUACUGCCUUUAAUCCUGAUUUACUUUAUUGAUUUGAUGUUUUACGAAUGUGUUCAUUGUUCUGUGCCUUUCAAUACUCAGAAUUCUAAGCUUUUCUUACCAUUUCAUUAACUUUGCAUCCUUUUCGUAGUUCAUUAACUUUUACAUAUUACAUAGAAAUCUCACCUUUUAGUCUUCUAACAAUGUGUUCAUUUUUGCAUACUACCUAACAUUUCACUGCCUUUACAAAUAAUUUUAACCUAACACUUCACUAUAAGUUCCACACACUAUCCUAACAUUUUGUUCACUUAGCACUUUUGUAGAACUUAACAACUUCGUAGCUGUGACUUUUCACCUUGUUUUUAAAUACUAACAAUAAAACAACAAAAAAAAAAUACAAAACCUAACACAAAAUUUUAGACUUUGCUCUUUUGAGUUCAUUACCCUCCUGUGGCAUGGCGUUGACCUGAGGUAACUACAGAAUGAAUAUAAUGAAAAAUCAGGCAUAUGAAGUAAUAAUGACAACAAAAAUGAUUAAGACAAAACAAGACUACGGAUAACAUUUUAUUGAAAAUAAAUAUAAUAUAUAAAACAGAAACAGCUGACAUAGUCAUGCCAUGGGUGGUUGACUAACAUUUCCCUAAACCCCAACACCCUUCAAAAUUUUGUUUCUAUUUGUGCAUUUCUCCAGAUUGUAAGGGGGACAUUGUGAUUUUUUCCACCGCCUGAGAGGCCAGGGGUGCCCUGUCCGUUUUUACCCCCAAAAUAUGUGAUGAAAUGAAAUGACAUGAAAUAAAGACAUUGGUUGAGGAUGUGGGAGGACGAAGCCUCAGGGGGAAGUUUUCCGGAAGGGACAGUGUCUACUCGAGGAUGUACAGCCCCCUUCUUUUAUUCUUUUCGUUAUUUUCCAUUUUUCUUGUUUUGUGUGGUCUCGUUGAGACCAAAAGGGGGAGCUGUUGAGGCGCUUAUCAAGCUCAAAUACAUUCACACACUACACUCGCAUAUUCUCACACAAAGGGCCUUUGUAAUUGUAACAUCUAUAGAAACUCCUCAGACUCCCGUCUCCCAGGAAAUAGAAACUUAGUUGAUAAAAUGACGUAAGACAUCAGAUGACCACCAGGUGCAUCCGUAGUAUAGUAAACGAAUCUUCCCGUUUUUGAUGAGAUGCUGUAUAGACUCGGUCACAUUCACACCUAGUCUGUAAGGGUAAGCGUCUCCUUUUUUAGCGCUAAAAAAGAAUAAAAUAAGUAAAGUCUGA